rnacentral:rRNA from 1 species
AUGGAUUCCCUCUGGCACGCCUCCGUCAUUGUCCUUGUGCUCCUAUUCAUUGGAGGAUCCGAUGCCAACCCAGCCGCCCGUCGCCACAGUCAGCUGGAUGUAAACCACAAGAAGCAGCCACUACAGACAUUCAGGCCUUACAACAUUGCCCACAGGGGUUCCAAUGGCGAAAUACCCGAGGAGACAGCUGCGGCAUAUUUGAGGGCUAUCGACGAAGGUGCAGACUUCAUUGAGACUGAUAUACUUGCAUCAGAGGACGGUCAUCUGAUAUGUUUUCAUGAUGUAACACUGGAUAACACAACCGACAUCGCCAGCCGUACUGAGUUCGCUGGCAGGAAGAGAACCUAUGAAGUCCAGGGAGUAAAUAUGACUGGUUGGUUUACCGUGGAUUUUACACUAAGAGAACUGAAAUCACUGAGGGUGAAACAGCGCUUCAGUUUCAGGGAUCAACAGUAUAAUGGGAAGUACAAUAUUCUUACAUUUGAUGAGUUUAUCUUGAUUGCACUUCAUGCUGACAGGGUGGUCGGAAUAUACCCAGAGAUCAAGAAUCCUAUUUUCAUCAACCAGCAUGUCAAGUGGUCAGGUGGCAAGAAGUUUGAGGACAAGUUUGUCGAGACGCUUCUCAAGUAUGGCUACAAAGGCAAAUAUAUGUCUGAAGAUUGGCUCAUGAAGCCGCUAUUCAUCCAAUCCUUUGCUCCAACUUCACUAAUUUACAUCUCAAACAUCACAAAUGCUCCAAAACUACUUCUAAUAGACGAAACCACAGUUCCAACUCAAGAUACCAACCAGUCAUACUAUGAAAUAACUUCGAACGGCUAUCUCGCGUUCAUAAGGAAGUAUGUAAUUGGGAUUGGGCCAUGGAAGGAUACAAUUAUCCCCCCAGAGAAUAAUCAUUUAGGCCCUGCAACCGAUCUUGUGGCACGGGCACAUGCUCUGAAUCUUCAGGUGCAUCCAUACACAUUCAGAAAUGAGAACUCAUACCUGCACUUCAACUUCCAUCAAGACCCUUAUGCUGAAUAUGAGUACUGGCUCAGAGAGAUCGGAGUCGACGCACUGUUCACCGAUUUCACCGGCAGCUUGCACAAGUACCUGGAGUGGACAGCUCCACACCAAAACAAAGAAAAGAAGUGCAGAGGACCUCCUGCAUGA